GAGUUAGAAGUCAUGAUCCCUGCCCUCGAGGAACUUUGAGCUACCAGAGAAAAGAGACACAAAACAGGAGGAAGAACCCACUGGAGAGAUGGCUAUUCAUAUGAGGAAGUGCUUAAAUAGCAGAGUAUAUCUAAGUAGGAGAUCCAAAAGAUGCAGAAGAGAUGGAUGGAAGCAAGUGUCCCUUACUGCUCCAAGUUGUCUUCCAAAAAUGCCAAGAAAUAAGGACUGACAUGUUUUCCUAUGAUAAUUGGGGAGAAUCCCAUUACCCUUCUGGCACCCUUGAAGACUUUGGGAUCUGGAAGAAAGAGCAAAUGGAAGAAGAAAAGAAAAUCAAGGGACAAAUUCACUGAAACAUACUGCUUUUUUCAAUAGUUAGGCCUUUGUGCCUGGAAACCACCCUGAAUCAUUCAAGACAAAUGGUUAGAGCCUAUGCUAUGUCUCAUUUAACCUUUUUUUAAUCCUGGGCAUUUAUUCUUCCAAUAAAGUGUGUUAGGUGUGCCUA